rnacentral:rRNA from 1 species
UUGUUCCUACGGGGCGCAGCAGUAGGGAAUCUUCGGCGAUGGGCGAAAGCCUGACCGAGCAACGCCGCGUGAAUGAAGAAGGCCUUCGGGUUGUAAAAUUCUGUUAUAAGGGAAGAAAGGUGAUAGGAGGAAAUGACUAUCAAUUGACGGUACCUUAUGAGAAAGCAACGGCUAACUACGUGCCAGCAGCCGCGGUAAUACGUAGGUGGCAAGCGUUAUCCGGAAUUAUUGGGCGUAAAGAGAGCGCAGGUGGUUAAUUAAGUGUGAUGUGAAAGCCGACGGCUUAACCGUGGAGGGU